rnacentral:rRNA from 1 species
AUACGGAGGGUGCAAGCGUUACUCGGAAUCACUGGGCGUAAAGCGCGCGCAGGCGGUCUUUUAAGUUGGAUGUGAAAGCCUACAGCUCAACUGUAGAACUGCAUCCAAAACUAUUAGACUAGAGUCUGGGAGGGGAAGAUGGAAUUAGUUGUGUAGGGGUAAAAUCCGUAGAGAUAACUAGGAAUACCAAAAGCGAAGGCGAUCUUCUGGAACAGUUCUGACGCUGAGGCGCGAAAGCGUGGGGAGCAAACAGGAUUAGAUACCCCAGUAGUCC